UAUCUUCCGGACAACAAGAGGCAUCAACAUGGCUGUCCCAACCGGGAGAUCUGUGGUCUUCGUGACUGGCAACGCAAAUAAACUAGAAGAGGUAGCAGAAUGGUUCACAAGAACCGACAUUCCAUGUAGAAAAGCCCUAUUGUGAACAUUAAACGUUGCAGCGUGUGCUGUUUAUUCGAGGCUUUACUUUGGCUAGAGCAAAGGCAGCCAACCCAUGUGAAUGCAUGGAAAUGACUGACGGGGAAUGUGGUGGUGGUUUUAGAUUACACUUGCACAGAUCAAAUGUUUUGAUAGCUGUUAUUAGCCUAAAAAAUAGAUUACGGUUCACCUCCUAGAUUACGGAGACAUUAUUUAUAGAUUGGCAGGUAUUGGUGCUCUCGACCGGCUGGCUAUAUGUUCUUUACCAUUCAGCCAUCAGAUUUGCCACCAAUGCUCCUUAUAGGACACAUCACUGCAUUCUAUACUCCUCUGUAAACUGGUCAUCUCUGUAUACCUCUCGCAAGACCCACUGGUCGAUUCUUAUUUAUACAACCAUUUUAGGCCUCACUCCCCAGUAGAUAUCUGAGAUAUCUACUGCAGCCCUGAUCCUCCACAUACACAUACAAUUUAUUCCGAAAAAUGUCUGUCCUCACUCUGGUAGCCUAUGGACAAACAUUAAGAAUAAGCUACGUGGGGAUUCAGAUCCUGGGGGACAAGUUUCCCUAUAAACUAGUGUCCAAGAAGAUUGACUGUGAGUACACCUUAUCAAUGGUUCCUGAAUAAACUGAAGCCAGAAGGAUCCUAUGGUUCUAAUGAUGAACUUAGCCUUAAGAUGCCUUUGGGCAUCGGCCCAGAUCAGUUUAAGAUGCUGGCUGGGUUUCAGGACAAGUCGGCCUGGGCUUUGUGUACCUUUGCCUUCUGUCCAGGGAAAGAGGAACCGGUACAACUCUUCAGAGGGAUAACUGAGGACCUGAGCCCUAGGACCAUGCCUCAGGACUACCUGGCAUGAUGACUCCUUGCUGCCCCAGUCCACCUGGCCGUGCUGCUGCUCCAGUUUUAACUGUUCUGCCUGCGGCUAUGGAAUCCUGACCUGUUCACCGGACGUGCUACCUGUCCCAGACCUGCUGUUUUCAACUCUCUGGAGACAGCAGGAGUGGUAGAAAUACUCUUAAUGGUCGGCUAUGAAAGGCCAACUGACAUUUACUCCUGAGGUGCUGACUUGCUGCACCCUCGACAACUGCUGUGAUUAUUAUUAUUUGACCAUGCUGUUCAUUUAUUAACAUUUGAACAUCUUGGCCAUGUUCUGUUAUGAUCUCCACCCGGCACAGCCAGAAGAGGACUGGCCACCCCUCAGAGCCUGGUUCCUCUCUAGGUUUCUUCCUAGGUUUUGGCCUUUCUAGGGAGUUUUACCUAGCCACCGUGCUUCUACACCUGCAUUUCUUGAUGUUUGGGGUUUUAGGCUGGGUUUCUGUACAGCACUUUGAGAUAUCAGCUGAUGUACAAAUGGCUAUAUAAAUCCAUUUUGAUUUGAUCUUUUCACAAAUAGUUUAAUGAGUAAUCACAUACGUUUCACAAUAUUUAGAUGUAAACCUGACAGCUGGGAAAUGUACAGGGAGCCACAAUCUACACCCAGAAAGGGCCACAUCAUGACACUAUUUUGACGAAUCUCAAAUAUAAAAUAUAUUUUGAUUUGUUUAACACUUUUUUUGGUUACUACAUGAUUCCGUAUGUGUUAUUUCAUAGUUUUAAUGUCAUCACUAUUAUUCUACAAUGUAGAAAAUAGUCAAAGUAAAGAAAAACCCUUGAAUGAGUAGGUGUGUCCAUACAUUUGACUGGUACUGUACGUGUCUUUUAUCUGAACUGUUACAUUGUAGAGCCUAGAGGCCCAGAGACUUUGGAUGGGACCCCUGUUUCCAGGCAGACUGAUAUGACAAAACAAAAGCAGGACUUAAUGCAGGACAUUUAUUUUACUGGGUUUAUGCAUCAUACUUUACCUGUCUUUUAUUGAAACUAAUGAUAGUGAUUAUUCCCAGUUUUACUGAUGAUUUGUAAGUUCUCUCUCUCGCUCUAUCAUCCCUGUAGUUAUGCUGAGCUACCCAAGGAGGUGAAGAACACCAUUUCCCAUCGGUAUCAAGCUCUGGCAGCCAUGUCUGGACACUUCUCCUCUCAGGACAAUGGCACACCAGACAGCAAGAAGAAGUAAUGGCUAUUAACCCCUGAUCUAGCAUCAGAUCACAUAACCAUUAGAGGGAUACAAAAUCUGACCCUGUAUCAGUGGUGGGGCAACUUCUACCUACUCUGACUUAUGGGUAUCAGAGUCUGAGCCAAUCAAACAGUUCUGAUGUUGAAUUUAGAUAGUGGUGCUUUUGAUACAGUGCCUUCAAAAAGUAUUCACACCCCUUGACUUUUUCCACAGUUUUGAUGUGUUACACAUGGGAUUAAAAUUGAAAAUGAAUUGUCAACGAUCUACACAAAAUACUCUACAAUGUCUAAGUUGAAGAUUUUUUAAAUCAAUUUAUAAAACACAAAGCACUAAUAUAUCUUGAUUCGAUAAGUAUUCAACCCCCUGAGUCAAUACAUGUUAGAAUCACCUUUGGCAGUGAUUACAACUGUGAGACUUUCUGGGUAAAUUUCUAAGAGCUUUGCACACCUGGAUUGUACAAUAUAUGCAAAUUAGUAUACUUUUUUUUCAAGCUCUGUCAAGUUGUUAGUUGAUCAUUACAACACAGCCAUUUAAGUCUUGCCAUAGUUAAGUCAAAACUGUAACUAGGUCACUCAGGAACAUUACAUGUUGUCUUGGUAAGCAACUCCAGUAUAUAAUUGGCCUUGUGUUUUAGAUUAUUGUCCUGAAAAUAUGUAGAAUGGUGCUGUUGUGUUGGAUUUGCCCCAAACAACACUUUGUUUUCAGGACAUAAAGUUAAUUUCUUUGGUACAUUUUUUGCAGUUUUACGUUAGUGCCUUAUUGCAAAAAGGAUGCAUGUUUUGGAAUAUUUUUUUUGGUACUGGCUUUCUUCUUUUCACUCUGUCAUUUAGGUUAGUAUUGUGGAGUAACUACAAUUUUUUUUGAUCCAGCCUCAGUUUUCUGCUAUCACAGCCUCAUUGUGAAAUUCCUGAGCAGUUUCCUUCCUCUCAGGCAACUGAGUUAGGAAGGACGCCUGUAUUUUUGUAGUGAUUGGGUGUAUUGAUACACCAUCCAAAGUCUAAUUAAUAACUUCUCCAUGCUCAAAGGGAUGUUAAAUAUCUACUUUUUAAUAUUUACCCACCUACCAAUAGGUGCCCUUUGCGAGGCUUUGGAAAACCUUGCUGGUCUUUGUUUCAAUCUGUUUUUUGAAAUUCACUGCUUGACUGAGAGACCUUAAAGAUCAUUUUAUGUGUGGUGUGCAGAGAUGAGGUAGUCAUUCAUGUUAAACACAAUUAUUGCAUCUGUGCAACUUAUGUGACUUGUUAAGCAUAUUUUUACUCUUGAACUUAUUUAGGCUUGCCAUAACAAAGGGGUGGAAUACAAUAUUGACUCAAGACAUUUGAGCUUUUAAUUUGUACACAUUUCUAAAAACCUAAUUCCACUUUGACAUUAUGGGGUAUUGUGUGUAGGCCAGUGACACAAAAUCUCAAUUUAAUCGAUUUUAAAUUCAGGCUGUAACACAACAAAAUGUGGGGGAAAGUGAAGGGGUUUGAAUACUUUCUGAAGGCACUCUAUGCUUUCCUUAAACUGGAAGAACUCAAGAUGUAUUGUGUCCUUUGUCCAACCUGGAUUAUGUGGGUUUAGAACCAAGACCUUUUGCUUUCUAGAGUGCAGACUCCAAACCAGGACUAUACUCAUACUGUAUGUGUGAUGUGUUACUGAGGCAGGUUCUGUGAGUGUGUAUGGAGUGCCCCAAGAGAAGUGUAUAAUAAACCAUAAACACUCUGC